rnacentral:lncRNA from 1 species
ACAGGUGGCAGCCAGGCUGCCCACAGGGCCCGGGCGUGGGGGCCCCUGUGCCUUGGGCAGCUGGGCCCCUUGCUGAGGCGUGCUUGCGCGUGUCCGUUGUCGCCCUCACCCAGCUGCUGCGGCGGAGAAACGGAGGCCAGCGCGGGGAGCGGAAGCCGGAGCCUGUCGGGAGCGACCCCGGGAAGGCCAGUCCCUCCUGCCGGAGGGAGGCGUGUUGGCGUGCGCCGGUGGCGGGAUCGAUGGCCACCUGGUAGGCGAUGGUAAGCGGCAGUGGCCUGCGCCAAGGUAGCCCCCGGGGGGCGGUGUGUGGCGCCCGGACCCGCAUGCUCCCGGGGGUGGAGCUGACCUGCUUGCCCGCGGUUGGGCUCGGGAGCCUGCGGGCCGCGGCCAGGAGGGAGCUGGCUGGCCGUCCGGCGGUGGGGGCUGUGGCGGUGGCCGUCCCGCGGGUGUGCCCGUGCUCGGAUCGAUGAUGACACCCACAAACGCAUUCCUUGGAAAAUCUGAACAAAAUGAGUGAGAACUCACUACCGUCUCCUCAUCGCAAACUGAGGUCCGGCACGUGGCUCCCACAGGGGACGUCGGGGGAGGGUCCCGUUGCCUUGGCUCCCUUGGCUGCUGCGGCGGAGAGACGGAGGCCAGCGCGGGGAGCGGAAGCCGGAGCCUGUCGGGAGCGACCCCGGGAAGGCCAGUCCCUCCUGCCGGAGGGAGGCGUGUUGGCGUGCGGCCGGUGGCGGGAUCGAUGGCCACCUGGUAGGCGAUGGUAAGCGGCAGUGGCCUGCGCCAAGGUAGCCCCCGGGGGGCGGUGUGUGGCGCCCGGACCCGCACCCUCUGCUCCCGGGGGUGGAGCUGACCUGCUUGCCCGCGGUUGGGCUCGGGAGCCUGCGGGCCGCGGCCAGGAGGGAGCUGGCUGGCCGUCCCGGCGGUGGGGGCUGUGGCGGUGGCCGUCCCGCGGGUGUGCCCGUGCUCGGAUCGAUGAUGACACCCACAAACGCAUUCCUUGGAAAAUCUGAACAAAAUGAGUGAGAACUCACUACCGUCUCCUCAUCGCAAACUGAGGUCCGGCACGUGGCUCCCACAGGGGACGUCGGGGGAGGGUCCCGUUGCCUUGGCUCCCUUGGGUGCGUGCAGCCCUGGCGCAGGUGGGGGCAGGCAGGCCUCCGGUGGCCCCGGAGGGCC